rnacentral:rRNA from 1 species
AGUGAACGCUGGCGGUAGGCCUAACACAUGCAAGUCGAACGGCAGCACAGUAAGAGCUUGCUCUUACGGGUGGCGAGUGGCGGACGGGUGAGGAAUACAUCGGAAUCUACUUUUUCGUGGGGGAUAACGUAGGGAAACUUACGCUAAUACCGCAUACGACCUACGGGUGAAAGCAGGGGAACUUCGGACCUUGCGCGAUUGAAUGAGCCGAUGUCGGAUUAGCUAGUUGGCGGGGUAAAGGCCCACCAAGGCGACGAUCCGUAGCUGGCCUGAGAGGAUGAUCAGCCCCACUGGAACUGAGACACGGUCCAGACUCCUACGGGAGGCAGCAGUGGGGAAUAUUGGACAAUGGGCGCAAGCCUGAUCCAGCCCUACCGCGUGGGUGAAGAAGGCCUUCGGGUUGUAAAGCCCUUUUGUUGGGAAAGAAAAGCAGCAGGUUAAUACCCCGCUGUUCUGACGGUACCCAAAGAAUAAGCACCGGCUAACUUCGUG